rnacentral:rRNA from 1 species
CUCGAACGAACGCUGGCGGCGUGCCUAACACAUGCAAGUCGAACGCGAAAGCCUGGGCAACUGGGUGAGUAGAGUGGCGCACGGGUGAGUAACACGUGGGUAACCUACCUUUGAGUGGGGAAUAACUCCUCGAAAGGGGAGCUAAUACCGCAUAAGACCACGACUUCUUUGGGAGUUGCGGUCAAAGGUGGCCUCAUCAAGCAGAGUGUUUGGGACGAUCUUCCCGAGUGGAGGAUGGUCCUUAGCAUUUUGCACAGUGAAGCUGCCGCUCGAAGAUGGGCCCGCGGCCCAUCAGCUAGUUGGUAGGGUGACGGCCUACCAAGGCGACGACGGGUAGCUGGUCUGAGAGGACGACCAGCCACACGGGAAUUGAGAUACGGUCCCGACUCCUACGGGAGGCAGCAGUGGGGAAUCUUGGGCAAUGGGGGAAACCCUGACCCAGCGACGCCGCGUGGGGGAUGAAGGCCCUCGGGUUGUAAACCCCUUUCGGCAGGGACGAAGCGAGAGUGACGGUACCUGCAGAAGAAGUCCCGGCUAACUACGUGCCAGCAGCCGCGGUAACACGUAGGGGACGAGCGUUGUCCGGAUUCAUUGGGCGUAAAGCGCGCGUAGGCGGCUCGGAAAGUCGGUCGUGAAAUGCCGGGGCUCAACCCCGGGACUGCGUCCGAUACUCCCGAGCUGGAGGCAGGUAGGGGAGAUCGGAAUUCCUGGUGUAGCGGUGAAAUGCGCAGAUAUCAGGAGGAACACCGGUGGCGAAGGCGGAUCUCUGGGCCUUGCCUGACGCUGAGGCGCGAAAGCUAGGGGAGCGAACAGGAUUAGAUACCCUGGUAGUCCUAGCCGUAAACGUUGGGUGCUAGGUGUGGGCGGAUAUCGACCCCGUCCGUGCCGAAGCUAACGCAUUAAGCACCCCGCCUGGGGAGUACGGCCGCAAGGCUAAAACUCAAAGGAAUUGACGGGGGCCCGCACAAGCGGCGGAGCAUGCGGCUUAAUUCGAUGCAACGCGAAGAACCUUACCUGGGCUUGACAUGCAGGGCAAAGCCGGUGAAAGCCGGCGCUCUACGGAGCCUGCACAGGUGGUGCAUGGCUGUCGUCAGCUCGUGCCGUGAGGUGUUGCCUUAAGUGGCGCAACGAGCGCAACCCUUGUCCCUAGUUGCCAGCGGGUCAUGCCGGGAACUCUAGGGAGACUGUCGGUGCCAAACCGGAGGAAGGUGGGGAUGACGUCAAGUCAUCAUGCCCCUUAUGUCCAGGGCUGCACGCAUGCUACAAUGCGCGGUACAAAGGGCUGCAAACCCGCAAGGGGGAGCGAAUCCCAAAAAGCCGCGCUCAGUUCGGAUCGGGGUCUGCAACCCGACCCCGUGAAGUCGGAGUCGCUAGUAAUCGCAGAUCAGCAAUGCUGCGGUGAAUACGUUCCCGGG